GCCUGGCUGGCUCAGUCGGUGGAGCAUGUGACUCUUGAUCUCAGGGUUGUGAAUUCAAUCCCCAUGUUGGGCA
rnacentral:tRNA from 1 species